AGCGAGCUGUAUUGUAAAAAACCUAAAAGGAAAGAAAAGUGAAAUAGUUUUAGCAUUACUUAAUAAUUUUAAGUCCAAGAAUUCAUGGUCAAUAACAUAAGAAUGAACAAGAAAGUUUGUAACUAGAAAUUUGCUUUAAUACUUCACCUCAAUGAAUAUGUGCACACACACACCAAAAAACAGAAACAAUCCCAAGUAUGAGAUGGCAUUUUCAGAUGUCAUCUCCCUCAUAAGUCAUAACAGAAAUUUCUUUCAAAAUCCUUCAUACCAAUCACAUGCUCAGUGUUCUCGUAUGAAAUCAAUGAGAAGUUAAUAUGCCGCAAAGUUCAAAUGCAGUAUGUUAAAGAUUCAAAUCAACUGUAGCCAUCAUUGUUUUAAAAUAACUCCACACCACAUUGAAAACCAAAAUGAUUUACCACAACAUACUAUGUUAUAUUGUGACCAACAGAUGGUAUUUUAGAUCAUUAGAGUUGUAAAUCCUUCAAGAUAACCUAAUAUUCACAGAAAAAACCACCAACCCUUGAACUUAGCAGAACUUCCUUAAACUCCAAAAUACUAGAUGGAUUUGUUGUUUCUAAUGAUAUUAUUCAAAAAUACUGAAGUAGAGGUUACAAAACUACAACUGCAAGUAUCCAAUAAACUUCUGUAAUGAAUAAUCAGAGAAAGCAGAACAAGAAAACGAAAAUGAGAUGCACCUCCUCUGGAUGUGCAAUUGCA
rnacentral:misc_RNA from 1 species